UCCAAAAAACAUUGUAAUUUUUAAUUCAUACAUCAUAUCUCCUUCCAACUAAUUUAAUUCAAGAUUUAAGAUUUUUAUUUGUCACAUACACAAUUAUAUAGAGCAUAUAUAACCAGCAGUGAUAUGUGAGUCAGGUCUGCUCCAAGGACAGUGCAAUUAUUAAGAAUACAACACAGAUGAAAAUAUACAUAAAUAAAGCUAUGAAAGAUUGAAAUAAAAGUAAACAAUAAAAUAAUAUGAAUAAGAAUAAAGAUAUAAGAAUAAAAUAUAAAAAGAUGAAUAUUGUAGAAAGUAAACUGUAAACUCGAAAAAACGCUGGGUUGUUUUUUCAUCCCAACUGCUGGGUUGAGGCUGUUGGGUAGGACUUUGGGAUGUUUUAACCCAAGUUUGGGUUGAAAAUAGGUCUCUGUUUUAACCCAGCGGGGCUGGGUUGAGGACGCGGACAUGAAGGAGAACAUGCACGUCGCGUUAAGAUCGUACGUCUCCAGUGCGAGCAGCCGUCGUUUUCUCAGCGUGAAAGAAGUGAGAAGCAAGUGAGCGACUAUGACUUGUCGAGCUCGUGUCUUCAUUGUCCUCGCGCCGAGAGUUAAAGACACAGAAGCUGUUUGUGUGAGGAGUCACAGACCUGUGUGAGGAUGAGGAGGAGGAGUUCUUCUGAAGAGAGGGACAGACGGUUUAAGGAGAGUAAACUUCAGAAUAACAUCGUUAUCUUUAUUUUUACUAAGACUAAAAUAAUUUGUUUUUUUUUAGAUGUUGAAAUCCAGAGACAAGAUAACUUCAUUCUUUUGAGACUGAUUUUGGUUUUCUCAGCUUCUUUGGAAGAGAGGGAAAGAUAGUUUAAGGCAAGUAAACUUCAUAAUUUCAUGUUAUCAGUUGUUGUUGUUUUUUUACUGAUAGUAAAAUAAUGCUUGUUUUUUGUUUUUGUAGAUGUUAAAAGCCACAGUGUUAAUUUUGACACAAAAUUUUAAUUUAGUUUUAGUCUUAGUCUUUUGCCUAUAAUUCUUUUUAGUUUUAGUCAAGUUUUAGUCAUCUAAUUUGUUUUAAUUUUAGUCUUAUUUUAGUCAACUAAAAUUGCUUGGUAUUUUAGUCGACUAAAAUAAGACUAAAAUCAAUAACUGAUUUACUAGACAAUUUUUUACUGCUGGUAUAGGAAACAAACUUGACCAAAAUAUAUAAAACACAAAGUCAACUUUAUUACAACACAACUGUGUCUUUAUUUCAAUUCAAAAGCUUUUAUGCAGCAACAAACACUGUCAUGAUAAUGCAAACAAUAACUAGCUGCCAACUGACCAUCAAUAAAAGAAAAAUAAAGUUAGGUCCAGGACUUUAAAGCUUACAGCUGAGCUGAACAAUAAGUGCAGACAUUUUUUAUUUAAAGUAAAUAUUUAAUAAGCAGCUAGGUGGAUAAAAAAGUAACAAGAUUUUAGAAAGUAUUAAUUUGUCUAGCAAUAUUGUAUGUUUUAAAUACCACAAUAUUGCUAGAUUAGUAUGUAUAAUGAUAGGAUGUGAACCGUCACGUUUCACAUGACUAAUCUAGAAAUAUAUGUGAUAUUGUCAACAAGUACAACAUUAUAAAAUAUACAAACAUUAGAAUUAAUCAAAUGUAUGUAGCAUAAUAUUUCGUAUUAGUAUGGUGCUCUCAUCUAACUUGAAGAAGGGGCAAUUUUACAGUACUUUUCAGUUCGUAAUAUUUAAUGCUACAACAUCUAUGCACUGCAGUCUUACAAUUUUACUUAGCUCAAUAAACAAAAGAACAUCGUUGUGAAUUUACCUUUGAGAAAAUGUCAGAGUGGCUCGUCUGUAAAUGUCUUUUCAAAUUGGUUUUGUUCUUGCCACGAAUGAUCGCUCCGCGUGCUUUACACUGUUUUGUUUUGUUCGUCGUCACACGUGAAGUGAUCCCACAGGUCUCCCCUUCUUUUUUUCCCAGGUUGGACAUUUUGUCGCUCUUUUAGACAUCACCUCUUCGAAUGCCGUCUUCCCGGGAGCUCAGUCAAAAACUGAAUACCUUCACGUCUCAAUAAGUCAUUCUCUGAUUGGUUCUCUUCGCUCAUGCAGUCUCGCCUGUUCAGUUUUGCCGGUUCUUUUGUUCAUUCCUCGCAUCUCUCCCGUCUGCUGAUUAGAUUUUCGUCACUUUUUAUUUUCGUCUCAUCCUUUAUUCGUUGACGAUAAUGUCAAUCAAUUUAGUCAUAGUUUUAGUCUCCAUCAGUGACUUCUUUUUUAGUUUUCGUUUUGUUUUCGUCCGCAAAAAUAUAUUUGUGACGAAAAUAGUGACGAAAAUAUUUAGUCAACGAAAUUAACACUGGCUGGGUAUACAUCUGUGUUCAUACACCUGGAGCAAUAUUCAGCUAGAGCAUGCAAUCGCUCUAAGGACACGCCGAUUAAGCCAUGAGAACAGGGUUAGAGAACAGGGUUAAAUGAGACCAACAUUCUCGUGUAAGCCUUUCAAUGGGGGUUCACUGAAUUUAGCGGCGAAAUAUCAAUGUCACUGGUGUUUAUUUCUAAGGUUGAUGUCACAUUAACUGUGUUUCAGAUGCACGCAGCUUCAAAAGCAGGCAUUUAUCGCUCUGUGGCUUGUAAAUAAAGGGUUAUAAGUACGGGACAAAAAUAGCCACGUUUAUAUGUAUUUUAUUUCUUCAUCCAGGGGUGUAUUCCAGAAAGCAGGAUUAACUUACCGUGAACUAAACCCUUAACUCUCGGUUGAUUAACCCCAAACCUUGCUUACUCGAGGUAUGUGGUUCCAAAAACGCUUCCAGGAGUAAGUUCAUUCAACUCAGAGUAUGUUCCUGGUUAAGACUCAAGACAUUCUCAACAGAGCGACGAAUCGAUGAGUCACUAUAGAAACGGACGCUAAGAAAAAGCGCGCCAAGCUCUUUCUUUCUUCUUCUUUUGUUCAUUAGUUGUUUACAUGCUUAGUGCAUAUCGCCACCUAAUUGAUGGCUGUGCAAUCAUUUUGAUUUUUUUUCCAUUUAAUCUUUAAUCCUUGAGAAUGUGAAUUAUAU